rnacentral:rRNA from 1 species
CCUACGGGAGGCUGCAGUGGGGAAUAUUGGGCAAUGGGCGCAAGCCUGACCCAGCAACGCAGCGUGAAGGAAGAAGGCUUUCGGGUUGUAAACUUCUUUUCUGAGGGACGAAGAAAGUGACGGUACCUCAGGUAUAUACCACGGCUAACUACGUGCCAGCAGCCGCGGUAAUACGUAGGUGGCGAGCGUUAUCCGGAUUGAUUGGGUGUAAAGGGCGUGUAGGCGGGAAAGCAAGUCAGAUGUGAAAUCUCAGGGCUCAACCCUGUGCCUGCAUUUGACACUGUUUGUCUUGAGUUCUGGGGAGGCAAUCGGAAUUCCGUGUGUAGCGGUGAAAUGCGUAGAGAUAAGGAAGAACACCAGUGGCGAAGGCGGAUUGCUGGACAGUAACUGACGCUGAGGCGCGAAAGCGUGGGGAGCAAACAGGAUUAGAUACCCUUGUAGUC